GAUGAACGCUGGCGGCGUGCUUAACACAUGCAAGUCGAACGGUGAAGCAGGAGCUUGCUCCUGUGGAUCAGUGGCGAACGGGUGAGUAACACGUGAGCAAUCUGCCCUGGACUCUGGGAUAAGCGUUGGAAACGACGUCUAAUACCGGAUACGAGGCGUGGGGGCAUCCCCAACGCCUGGAAAGAACUUCGGUCCAGGAUGAGCUCGCGGCCUAUCAGAUAGUUGGUGAGGUAACGGCUCACCAAGCCUACGACGCGUAGCCGGCCUGAGAGGGUGACCGGCCACACUGGGACUGAGACACGGCCCAGACUCCUACGGGAGGCAGCAGUGGGGAAUAUUGCACAAUGGGCGCAAGCCUGAUGCAGCAACGCCGCGUGAGGGACGACGGCCUUCGGGUUGUAAACCUCUUUUAGCAGGGAAGAAGCGAAAGUGACGGUACCUGCAGAAAAAGCACCGGCUAACUACGUGCCAGCAGCCGCCGUAAGAC
rnacentral:rRNA from 1 species